rnacentral:rRNA from 1 species
UAAUAGCGUAUAUUAAAGUUGUUGCAGUUAAAAGCUCGUAGUCGGAUGUCGGGCUCGGGCAGGCUGUCGGCUUCGGUCGGACGGCAGGCUCGGGUCUUUCUGCCUGAGGAUCCCGUUGCACUUAAUUGUGGGCGUGGGGACGCAGGCCGUUUACUUUGAAAAAUUAGAGUGCUCAAAGCAGGCUAUUACGCCUGAAUAUUCGUGCAUGGAAUAAUAGAAUAGGAAGUCGUUUCUAUUUUGUUGGUUUUCGGAAAUCGACUUAAUGAUUAAUAGGGACAGUCGGGGCAUUUGUAUCAAACGACAGAGGUGGAAUUCUUGGACCGUUUGAAGACAAACUACUGCGAAAGCAUUUGCCAAGAAUGUUUUCAUUAAUCAAGAACGAAAGUUAAAGGUUCGAAGACG